AAUGGGAAGAUUCAUCGUCAACGGCGCUGGCUCCCGUUGGUGCGCGAUGCCCCGAAUGGACCCUCGUGGUUUCACGGCGAGGGCACGCCACCUUCGGCUUGAAUGUUCCGGUGCCGUGGUCGUGCACUUCUCCCCUAGUAGAACGUCGCGACCCGUUGUGCGUCGGUCUACGGCCCGAGAGGGCGCCUGUCGCGUCGCCUUGCGCGCACACGUCAGACCCUCGGUCGCCCGGCCGGCUGCACGACGGUACUCGCACGGUAUCGGGCCGCAACCAAUCCAUUCUCGAAUGGCGUUUGCGUCAGGUCCGCCGCAAGCUCGGUUAGUUCUUACCCGGUGGUACGGACCUCGUGCCGUCCCCGGGCCUAACCAGCUGUUAGCAGGCGGAGUCCUCGGACUGGCCAAGCUUCGAAUUACCGGUCGGCGACGCUAUUGCUUUGGGUACUCUCAGGACCCGUCUUGAAACACGGACCAAGGAGUCUAACAUGUGCGCGAGUCAUUGGGAUGCACAAACCUAAAGGCGCAAUGAAAGUGAAGGUCGUCCUUAGCGUCGACCGAGGGAGGAUGGGCCGCGUAACUGGGCGGCCCCGCACUCCCGGGGCGUCUCGUUCUCAUCGCGAGAAGAGGCGCACCCAGAGCGUACACGUUGGGACCCGAAAGAUGGUGAACUAUGCCUGGUCAGGACGAAGUCAGGGGAAACCCUGAUGGAGGUCCGUAGCGAUUCUGACGUGCAAAUCGAUCGUCGGAACUGGGUAUAGGGGCGAAAGACUAAUCGAACCAUCUAGUAGCUGGUUCCCUCCGAAGUUUCCCUCAGGAUAGCUGGCACUCGCUCGAACGCGGUGCGAGUCUCAUCUGGUAAAGCGAAUGAUUAGAGGCCUUGGGGCCGAAACGACCUCAACCUAUUCUCAAACUUUAAAUGGGUGAGAUCUCUGGCUUGCUUGAACAGUGAAGCCAUGAGAUUUUGGAUCAGAGUGCCAAGUGGGCCAAUUUUGGUAAGCAGAACUGGCGCUGUGGGAUGAACCAAACGCAGAGUUAAGGCGCCUAAGUCGACGCUUAUGGGAUACCAUGAAAGGCGU
rnacentral:rRNA from 1 species